rnacentral:lncRNA from 1 species
AGCUUCUUACUUUAUGCAUUGAGAGAGGAUCUCUGCUUGGAGCUGCACUCACCAAUUCAUCUCAAUUGGCGGGGUCAGUGAAUUCUAAAGACUGAUCUGUCUCUACCUCCCCAGGAGAAGACUACAAGUUCAGGCUUCAAAACCCAGCACUUUUACAUCUGUUCUGGUGACUGAACUUCUGUUCUGGUCCUUCUUGGGUGGGAGACUGAAUUUCUAUUUGCCUGUGAUGGAAUGUGUCUCUGUGUGCGGGGAAGCACCUCAUUGUCUAAUAAGCAGGAACGUCAGUGAUAGCACACUCAGAGUUGUCAGGGAAAAGGCACCGGAUUCUGCAAAUGGAAUCACGGUAACAAUUCCCUGGAAACCAAGGCCACACUGCUCUUUACUGCCAUCUUCUAGAGUCUGGUGGUUAGUCCGAAGUCAGAGGCAGAAAGAGUACACACUAAAGCUUGUCUAUAUGCCACAACUGGUGC